rnacentral:rRNA from 1 species
UGGGGAAUAUUGGACAAUGGGCGAAAGCCUGAUCCAGCCAUGCCGCGUGUGUGAAGAAGGUCUUCGGAUUGUAAAGCACUUUAAGUUGGGAGGAAGGGCAUUAACCUAAUACGUUAGUGUUUUGACGUUACCGACAGAAUAAGCACCGGCUAACUCUGUGCCAGCAGACGCGGUAAUACAGAGGGUGCAAGCGUUAAUCGGAAUUACUGGGCGUAAAGCGCGCGUAGGUGGUUUGUUAAGUUGGAUGUGAAAUCCCCGGGCUCAACCUGGGAACUGCAUUCAAAACUGACUGACUAGAGUAUGGUAGAGGGUGGUGGAAUUUCCUGUGUAGCGGUGAAAUGCGUAGAUAUAGGAAGGAACACCAGUGGCGAAGGCGACCACCUGGACUAAUACUGACACUGAGGUGCGAAAGCGUGGGGAGCAAACA